rnacentral:misc_RNA from 1 species
UAACUAUUCUCAAGCUACAUUCUUUUAAGAGUGCAGCAUGGAAUUGAGUUAUCCCGGUACGAGUGCCUCGGCACUGCAACUGGGAGACUUGAAACUGAUAUCGCGGGAGUAGUGGUCAUUAAGGAUCAGCUCUUUGUAGGUGUACUAGUUGGAGGCGUCGCAAGACGUUUUCAUUCUUAACACCAUUACGCAAGGUUCGGAUCUGACAACUGCAACCAACGAACGCAGGAACGCGAGUCUCCGGACUUCAACU